rnacentral:sRNA from 1 species
AUUCUACCCAUGUGGGGAAGGAUGAGAAGCUUCGACUAAGGUUCGAUUCGAGCGCAGCGAGAAAGCGUUGCCGCAGGCAACGACCCGAAGGGCGAAGCGCG